rnacentral:precursor_RNA from 1 species
UUUAUUUUAUUUUUAAAAAAGAAAAAGAAAAAGAAAUUAAGCCUUAAUCUAUGUCAAGAAUUUCAUCAACAGAACAUGUAAUUGAUGAUCUUGUCCUCGUCAUUUUCACUAAAAUUUUGAGUUAUGUUUUAUUUCCCAGAAAAAAUAAAUAAAUAAUGUUUGUAUUAUAUAUUGUAUAGAAUAUCUCAAGUCAAUAUUGGAACACCCUCAGCCAAGGCUAAUUAAGUUUGUUAAUUAACCUUAAAGUUCCAAAGGCGCCAAGGUAACGUAAAUCAUAAUAAGAAAAUAUAAUUUACGGAAUCAAGCGGUCAAACAUUAAAUCAUAAUAACAAAACUAAAUUAGUGAAGUGAAUUUCCAUCUGUGCCCUGUGAAACUUAUUUUAAAAUAAAAAAAAAAUGCUUCAAGAUCGGUGAGGCGGUGCCUAGGAGGAAAUGAGCUUUGUUAAAAUUGAAUUUUUCUAUGCAUAUAUAGCGAUAUCAACCGUUUCUGAACAUAAAAAAACUUCCAAACAACCCACCGGCCAACAGAAUUUACCUCAAUCCCCAACAAAAAAAAAAAAAGCUCAAACAAGCUAGCUAGAAAAAAACAAGGAUUGGUAUAUAGACUACACAUUUGUUCACUACACAAGUACAUGCACAUGGAGAUAAUGCAUUGUUUAGGGUCCCCUCAACUCAUGAAAAGGAAUAUAUUCCAUUUAUGGGCAGCAAAAUGAUGCACUUGACGAAAGGAAAAACCAUACAAGAAAACUUGCGACCCGAAUCUAGCUAGCUAGUCUCAAUUCUUUCACUGCCUAUAAAUAGAAACUCCAAGGCUUCCCAUUAGAGCAGGAACUUGAGAAGAAGUGAGGUCUAACAUGAAGAUCAAAGUUUUGUUUGGUAGCCAAGAAUGACCUGCCUCAUUUACUUGCAAGAGGUUACAACGUUUGGCAUUCAUGCCUAGGAACUAACCUUGUCGGAUUCCCAGGCAGGUCAUUCUGGCUAAAUUGACAAGCUUUUUUCUCUCAUGUUAGACCUUCUCUUCUUCAC